GUAGGCUGGAGAGGUAAUGCUCCAUCACAUCCACCCGUUCACAGUGAUAGGUACGGAACGGCCCUGACCAUCACCCCUCCGCUCGCCCCUGGCCUCCAACACCAGCCACCCCAGGCAGCCUCGGAACUGCAGAGUGGUGGAAGCAUCUCCGACCGACUGUGAUACUAAACACAUCCACACUAAACCCAUCCAUACUAAACCCAUCCACACUAAACCCAUCCACACUAAGCCCAUCCACACUAAGCCCAUCCACACUAAGCCCAUCCACACUAAGCCCAUCCAUACUAAACCCAUCCACACUAAACCCAUCCACACUAAGCCCAUCCACACUAAGCCCAUCCAUACUAAACCCAUCCACACUAAACCCAUCCACACUAAGCCCAUCCACACUAAACCCAUCCAUACUAAACCCAUCCAUACUAAACCCAUCCAUACUAAACCCAUCCACACUAAACCCAUCCACACUAAACCCAUCCAU